AGAGUUUGAUCCUGGCUCAGGAUGAACGCUAGCGGCAGGCCUAAUACAUGCAAGUCGAACGGUGGCAGCAAUGCCAUAGUGGCGCACGGGUGCGUAACGCGUAGCCAACCUGCCCUUGACUGGGGGAUAGCCCGCCGAAAGGCGGAUUAAUACCGCAUAAAAUGAAGAGACGGCACCGUUUUUUAUUAAAGAUUUAUUGGUCGAGGAUGGGGCUGCGUGCCAUUAGCUAGUUGGGGGGGUAACGGCCCACCAAGGCGACGAUGGCUAGGGGAGCUGAGAGGCUGGUCCCCCACACGGGCACUGAGAUACAGGCCCGACUCCUACGGGAGGCAGCAGUAGGGAAUAUUGGGCAAUGGGCGCGAGCCUGACCCAGCCAUGCCGCGUGCCGGAUGAAGGCCUUCUGGGUCGUAAAGCUCUUUUACCCGGGAUGAUAAUGACAGUACCGGGAGAAUAAACUCCGGCUAACUCCGUGCCAGCAGCCGCGGUAAUACGGAGGGAGCUAGCGUUAUUCGGAAUUACUGGGCGUAAAGCGCACGUAGGCGGCUUUGUAAGUAAGAGGUGAAAGCCUGGAGCUCAACUCCAGAAUUGCCUUUUAGACUGCAUCGCUUGAAUCAUGGAGAGGUGAGUGGAAUUCCGAGUGUAGAGGUGAAAUUCGUAGAUAUUCGGAAGAACACCAGUGGCGAAGGCGGCUUACUGGACGAUUGUUGACGCUGAGGUACGAAAGCGUGGGGAGCAAACAGGAUUAGAUACCCUGGUAGUCCACGCCGUAAACGAUGAUAACUAGCUGUUGGGCCUCAUAGAGGCUCAGUGGCGCAGCUAACGCAUUAAGUUAUCCGCCUGGGGAGUACGGUCGCAGAUUAAAACUCAAAGAAUUGACGG
rnacentral:rRNA from 1 species